UACGUAGGCAGCGAGCGUUGUUCGGAAUUACUGGGCGUAAAGAGCGUGUAGGCGGCCAAGCAGGUCCGUUGUGAAAACUGGAGGCUUAACCUCCAGACGUCGACGGAAACCGCGUGGCUAGAGUCCGGAAGAGGAGAGUGGAAUUCCUGGUGUAGCGGUGAAAAUGCGCAGAUAUCAGGAAGAACACCAAUGGCGAAGGCAGCUCUCUGGGACGGUACUGACGCUGAGACGCGAAAAGCGUGGGGGAGCGAACAGG
rnacentral:rRNA from 1 species